rnacentral:rRNA from 1 species
AGCGAACGCUGGCGGCAGGCCUAACACAUGCAAGUCGAACGAUCCUUCGGGAUAGUGGCGGACGGGUGAGUAACACGUGGGAACGUACCUUUAGGUUCGGGAUAACUCAGGGAAACUUGAGCUAAUACCGGAUGUGCCCUUCGGGGGAAAGACUUAUCGCCUUUAGAGCGGCCCGCGUUAGAUUAGCUAGUUGGUGAGGUAAAGGCUCACCAAGGCUCCGAUCUAUAGCUGGUCUGAGAGGAUGAUCAGCCACACUGGGACUGAGACACGGCCCAGACUCCUACGGGAGGCAGCAGUGGGGAAUCUUGCGCAAUGGGCGAAAGCCUGACGCAGCCAUGCCGCGUGAAUGGUGAAGGUCUUAGGAUUGUAAAAUUCUUUUAGCAGGGAUGAUAAUGACGGUACCUGCAGAAAAAGCCCCGGCUAACUUCGUGCCAGCCGCCGCCGUAAAAC